AUGCAGAGGAGCUGUUCCAGGGAUAGGCAAGUGAUUCUCGGCUUCAGUGGGGAAAGCAAAGGGAUCACACUGCGGUCACUAGAAGCAGGCAGCUUGCAAUCAGCACGGCUGUUUGAAGAAGGUCUCAUGGUCACAUCCCAGAUGAGGCUCUGUAGUCACGGACAGCUUCUGGCAGUACGAGGUGCAAAUGAAUGCUACAUCAGGAAGACACAUUUCUCUGGAGAGCAUCUGCUUCUGCAGUUUCCAAAGACAUCCUUUAUUUGUGAAUGUAUCUUCUUGUACAUGAACCUGUGACUUGUCUGAGUCUCGUCUUAUUGGAAUUGCACAUCAGAAUUAUCUUUUAUUGUUCUUUCGGUCACGUUUCUCUCUGUGACAGAUUAUUGUAUUUUCUGUUGGCUUUGAUAUUUUUUAAUUGAUCGCUGAAGGACCAAAUCCAGAUGCUGGGUACAUUCUUGAUGAGGUGGGUAUUGAAGUACUUUGGUAUAUAGAUUGUCAUUGUUUUCAACCUUUUGCCUUGAUCAUUUGCUCUUGCAGAACUCAUUUCUUUCAGUACUUUUAGAGCCCAUGGGAGGUGCUAAAUAAACACUUCAAACUAUAAUAAAAGUCA
rnacentral:lncRNA from 1 species